UACAGAGGGUGCGAGCGUUAAUCGGAAUUACUGGGCGUAAAGCGCACGUAGUCGGCUUUGCAAGUCGGGUGUGAAAUCCCCGGGCUCAACCUGGGAACUGCAUCCGAGACUGCAUUGCUAGAGUAUGGGAGAGGGAAGCGGAAUUUUCUGGUGUAGCAGUGAAAUGCGUAGAUAUCAGAAGGAACAUCAGUGGCGAAGGCGGCUUCCUGGACCAAUACUGACGAUCAGGUGCGAAAGCGUGGGGGAGCAAACAGG
rnacentral:rRNA from 1 species